rnacentral:rRNA from 1 species
GAUGAACGCUGGCGGCGUGCCUAAUACAUGCAAGUCGAGCGAACAGACGAGGAGCUUGCUCCUCUGACGUUAGCGGCGGACGGGUGAGUAACACGUGGAUAACCUACCUAUAAGACUGGGAUAACUUCGGGAAACCGGAGCUAAUACCGGAUAAUAUAUUGAACCGCAUGGUUCAAUAGUGAAAGACGGUUUUGCUGUCACUUAUAGAUGGAUCCGCGCCGCAUUAGCUAGUUGGUAAGGUAACGGCUUACCAAGGCGACGAUGCGUAGCCGACCUGAGAGGGGGAUCGGCGACUCUGGACGGGGAACACACGCCAGACUCCGAAGGGAGACAUAAGUGGGGAACCUGCGGCAAUGGGCGAAAGACUGACGGAGCCAACUGGCGGGGUUGAGGAAAGUCUUCGGAUCGUAAAACUCUGUUAUUAGGGAAAAGCAAAUGUGUAAGUAACUAUGCACGUUUUGACGGUACCAAAUCAGAAAGCGACGGCUAACAACGU